rnacentral:rRNA from 1 species
CCAGAGAACUUAGCAGAGAUGCUUUGGUGCCUUCGGGAACUCUGAGACAGGUGCUGCAUGGCUGUCGUCAGCUCGUGUUGUGAAAUGUUGGGUUAAGUCCCGCAAGAGCGCAACCCUUAUCCUUUGUUGCCAGCGGUUAGGCCGGGAACUCAAAGGAGACUGCCAGUGAUAAACUGGAGGAAGGUGGGGAUGACGUCAAGUCAUCAUGGCCCUUACGAGUAGGGCUACACACGUGCUACAAUGGCGCAUACAAAGAGAAGCGACCUCGCGAGAGCAAGCGGACCUCAUAAAGUGCGUCGUAGUCCGGAUUGGAGUCUGCAACUCGACUCCAUGAAGUCGGAAUCGCUAGUAAUCGUGGAUCAGAAUGCCACGGUGAAUACGUUCCCGGGCCUUGUACACACCGCCCGUCACACCAUGGGAGUGGGUUGCAAAAGAAGUAGGUAGCUUAACCUUCGGGAGGGCGCUUACCACUUUGUGAUUCAUGACUGGGGUAAAGUCGUAACAAGGUAAGCGUAGUGCU